rnacentral:lncRNA from 1 species
AUUGGAUGCUCCACGAUCCUACUCUCAGGAGGCUCGUAUGCCAUAUGCCAUAACCAGAAGCUUGUGUGGAAGGCAGCACACAAGAUGGAAGGGGUGCAAGAACAGAGAGCUGGGAAGGAAGGUGAAGGGAAGAGAAUGAAGCACGAGAUACCCCAUGGCUUGGUGUGGAACUCUCCUAAAGACACAAAAAAUGAAAUCGGGAUCCCAAAGAAAGAGCUGCACUCCCACGUUCAUUGCAGUAUUACUUGCAAUAACCAAGAUAUGGAAUCUACCCAUGUCCAUCAAUGAAUGAACUGAUAAAGAAAAUGUAGUGUGUGUGUGUGUAUGUGUGUGUGUAUAUAUAUAUAUAUAUAACACAGUGAAAUACUACUCAGCCUGAAAAGAAGAAGGAAAUCUUGUCACUUAUGGCAACAUGGAUGAAUUUGGAGAACAUUAUGUUAGGUAAAAUAAACCAGACACAGAAAGACAAAUACUGCAUGAUCUCACUUGUAUGUGGAAUCUAGAAAAGUCAGACUCAUAAAAACAAAGAGUAGAAUGCUGGUUACCAGGGGCUGAGUGGGAGGCGGGCGGGAAAUGAGAUGCUGGUCCAAAGAUACAAGGUUUCAGUUUUAAGAUGAAUACGUUCCGGGGAUCUAAGGUACAGCAUGGCGACUGUAGUUAAUAAUACUGUACUGUUUACUUGAAAUUUGCUAAGACAGUAGAUCUUAUGCAUCUGCAUCUCUCUCUCUCUCUCUCACACACACACACAAUAGUUAACUGUGUGAGGUGAUGUGUUAAUUAACUUGAUUGUGGUAAUUAUUUUACUAUGUAUGCAUAUAUGAAGUAAUUACAUUGUAAACCUUGGAUAAACACAAUUUUUAUUUGUCAAUUAUUCCCUGAUAAAACUAGAAGAAGAAAGCCCUACUUUGCAUGUUUGUUCUAACUGUUCCUCCUUCGCCUUCAGUUAAGUAAACAUGGGGAUGAGGGUGGGACAGAGAUGUGGAGGAAAUGAAGUUAAGAUGAAGU